rnacentral:rRNA from 1 species
UAGUCCACGCCGUAAACGAUGGUUACUAGCUGUUCGGACUUCGGUCUGAGUGGCUAAGCGAAAGUGAUAAGUAACCCACCUGGGGAGUACGUUCGCAAGAAUGAAACUCAAAGGAAUUGACGGGGGCCCGCACAAGCGGUGGAGCAUGUGGUUUAAUUCGAUGAUACGCGAGGAACCUUACCAGGGCUUAAAUGUAGUAUGACAGAUUUAGAGAUAGAUCUUUCUUCGGACUACUUACAAGGUGCUGCAUGGUUGUCGUCAGCUCGUGCCGUGAGGUGUCAGGUUAAGUCCUAUAACGAGCGCAACCCCUACCGUUAGUUGCCAGCAUGUUAUGAUGGGGACUCUAGCGGGACUGCCGGUGCAAACCGUGAGGAAGGUGGGGAUGACGUCAAAUCAUCACGGCCCUUACGUCCUGGGCUACACACGUGCUACAAUGGUAACGACAGAGGGCAGCCACCCCGCGAGGGGGAGCGAAUCCUUAAACGUUAUCUCAGUUCGGAUCGGAGUCUGCAACUCGACUCCG